rnacentral:lncRNA from 1 species
GGCGGGCAGGGCGGCCUCCAACUCAGCCGAAGCCCGGGAGCCGGACCAGGCCCGGCGCCGCGCAGAGGAUGGGGCGGGGCUUCACCUCGCGCUGAGGGGCUCCCGCCCCGCCCAGGGGCGCCGCCAGCCCUGAGGCGCGGCCUCGCGCUCCCCGUCACGUCACCUUGGCUCGGUUCCAGGCAGGAGUUGUGCGGCCGCGUCCGUACCGUUCGCGCUCGCUCGGUGGAUCCCGAGCGCCCCCGAGCAGCAGAGCCCGACGGAGGGCGGGGCGAGCGUCGAGCAUGCAGGAUAGUACUGCCUGAGAGCUACGAGGCCAGCGACCCAACGACUCUGGAAGCUCAGUCCUCUCCUGAUCUGUCAUUCAGAAGUAGUAAGAGUCAGGUUACAUGUCAUUGAGAGUCCUGUGGUGCCGCAGCAAUAAAGAUCACAAUCCUGUAAUGCUGCUAUCCGAUUCAAAAUGUUUCAUGUUGGCACCUAAAGCCUGGUAUGACAGAAUUCUGGAAAUGUGUUCCUGGAAUGGCUGGUGAUGGUCUUCAUAUCCUUUGGUGCAGAGAUAGCUGUAUUGCAUAAGUGGUUUUCAACUUGUAGCAUGGGACAAUGCAGGAUUUGGAAUGACUUCAAAAGGACAAGUAAAAGGUCAUUAGUAAAAUCAAUCCUUUUAUUAAAUUUGCUCUGUAAUGAUCUGUAUCUUCCCUGGAAAAUGCUUAUAGACCUACAACUGGAAGAGGUAUGAAAAAUAUCUUAGGAAUCCUUUUUAGAUCUUCAUUUCAAUAACGUUCUGAUUCAGAGAACUGCCAUGGAAGUUGCAGAGUUAAAACUUUGAUAACUCUAAUGUUUUUGUAGCUACUGCUGAAAAAUGUGACUCAAUAUUUUGGCAUUUUGAGAAGUGGCUCAUCAGGGACAAGAAAACCGUUUUUGAAAUAUGUUUUAGAAGACUUCAGCAAUAAUCUGUGGUUAUUUCUGAGCUUUCUGUGCUCACAUUGUGUAAGCAAGACUUAAGUCUUGGGAAAAUUAUGGAAAUGCCAAGGGUUACCUGGUAAACAAGUGGUGUAAUUGAUCAUUCUCUCUGCUUUAUAGACACAGUACCUUUUUGUCAUUUCAAUAACAAAUGAUCUCUAGGCUUAUACCAGA